AGAGCGAACGCUGGCGGCAGGCUUAACACAUGCAAGUCGAGCGGGCGUAGCAAUACGUCAGCGGCAGACGGGUGAGUAACGCGUGGGAACAUACCUUUUGGUUCGGAACAACACAGGGAAACUUGUGCUAAUACCGGAUAAGCCCUUACGGGGAAAGAUUUAUCGCCGAAAGAUUGGCCCGCGUCUGAUUAGCUAGUUGGUGAGGUAACGGCUCACCAAGGCGACGAUCAGUAGCUGGUCUGAGAGGAUGAUCAGCCACAUUGGGACUGAGACACGGCCCAAACUCCUACGGGAGGCAGCAGUGGGGAAUAUUGGACAAUGGGCGCAAGCCUGAUCCAGCCAUGCCGCGUGAGUGAUGAAGGCCCUAGGGUUGUAAAGCUCUUUUGUGCGGGAAGAUAAUGACGGUACCGCAAGAAUAAGCCCGGCUAACUUCGUGCCAGCAGCCGC
rnacentral:rRNA from 1 species